UUAGCCCUAAACCUUAAUAAUUUGACAACAAAAUUAUUUGCCAGAGAACUACUAGCUAUAGCUUAAAACUCAAAGGACUUGGCGGUACUUUAUAUCCAU
rnacentral:rRNA from 1 species